AGGAGCCGGUAGCUGUGCAGCC
rnacentral:miRNA from 1 species